CCCUUAGAUGUUCUGGGCUGCACGCGCGCUACACUGAAGCUAUCAACACGUUUUCCCUCCCUGAGAAGGGCGGGUAACCUUUUGAAUCAGCUUCGUGGUAGGGAUCGGGGCUUGCAAUUGUUCCCCGUGAACCAGGAAUUCCUAGUAGACGCGAGUCAUAAGCUCGCAUCGAUUAAGUCCCUGCCCUUUGUACAAACCGCCCGUCGCUACUACCGAUUGAACGUUUUAGUGAGGCAUUUGGACCGACGCAUCUCAGUUUAACCGCUGGUUUGUGUUGGAAAGACUUCCAAACUUGAGCGUUUAGAGGAAGUAAAAGUCGUAACA
rnacentral:rRNA from 1 species